GAUGAACGCUGGCGGCGUGCUUAACACAUGCAAGUCGAACGGAAAGGCUCCUGCUUGCAGGGGUACUCGAGUGGCGAACGGGUGAGUAACACGUGGGUGAUCUGCCCUGCACUUCGGGAUAAGCCUGGGAAACUGGGUCUAAUACCGGAUAGGACGAUGGUUUGGAUGCCAUUGUGGAAAGUUUUUCGGUGUGGGAUGAGCUCGCGGCCUAUCAGCUUGUUGGUGGGGUAAUGGCCUACCAAGGCGUCGACGGGUAGCCGGCCUGAGAGGGUGUACGGACACAGUGGGACUGAGAUGAGGCACAGACUCCUACGGGAGGCAGCAGUGGGGAAGAUUGCACAAUGGGGGGAAGGCUGAUGCAGCGAAGCCGCGUCGGGGGUGACGGCCUUCGGGUUGGAAACUCCUUUCGCUAGGGACGAAGCGCAAGUGACGGUACCUGGAGAAGAAGCACCGGCUAACUACGUG
rnacentral:rRNA from 1 species